GCAAAAACAUCGUUUAAAAUUAUUUUAAAUCGAAUCUGCCCACUGAAUAUUUUAAAUGGCCGCAGUAUCCUAACUGUGCUAAGGUAGCAUAAUCAUUAGUUUUUUAAUUAAAAACUCGUAUGAAUGAUCUGACGAUAGAUAAACUGUCUUUAUUUUAUAAAAUAAAAUUACUUUUUAAGUCAAAAAGCUUAAAAAAAUUAGAAUGACGACAAGACCCUAUAAAACUUCAUUUUUAAAUAAUAAAAAACUAAGAAUUAAUAUAAAUUUAAAUAAAAAUUAAGCUGGGGCGGCUACCAAUUAACAUUGAUAAAUAAAACAUUUUGAAUGAAUUUUAUAAACCUUAAUUUAAAAUUAAUAACAAGUUACUUUAGGGAUAACAGCGCAAUAUUAUUUUAGAGCCCUUAUCACCAAUAAUGUUUACGACCUCGAUGUUGAAUUGAAAAUUCUAUUUAAAGCAGUAUUUAAAAAAGAAAGUCUGUUCGAC
rnacentral:rRNA from 1 species